rnacentral:lncRNA from 1 species
CCUUGCUGAGCACUCUGGGCAGGGCCCACAGGAAAUUGAUGCCCUGUUUCUACCUCAGGAUGUGAAGGCCACUCUGGAGCUCCACAAAGAGCCUGAUGACAUCAGAACAUUACAGAUAUUAGUUAUUUUAAUGAAAAGCAUCCGUUACACCAAGUGUCUUGGUUUUUAUGAAACAAUAGGCUGAGCUGUUGAAGUUUGAGGAAAACAAUGAGCACGAAGCUCUCUGGCUCAUCUUGGUGCAGCUUCUGUGGCUGGAACCUCUUCCGGGAUCACGCCUGAAUGGCCCUGCCCGCAACGCCACUCGCUGACAGCCCUGGUACAAAGCAGUGCUGGACACCCUUGGCUUCUUUAACUCUGUCCACAACCCAGAGCGUUUUAGAGAACACGCGUGUUGGGUCUUGGAGUCUCCAUGGUGGCCGGGACCAAAGGAGGGAGAGGGACACUGAAGAGAGC